CAAGAGCGCGUGUGUGUGUGUGCACAGCCAUGCACGGGGAUUUGAGAGCGUGCCCUGAAAUGUGGGAACAUGAAGGGAGCUUUCUUUCAUUCACUCCUUCACUCCCAGGCAGGAAGUCAGGCUUUUAGAUUGUUGUGUAUUUCUGCAAUAACUCAGUAGUAGUAAUGGGCUAAAUCAAUCUAAUACCUCUGUGUUUUUUACAGCACCCAAUAAAUAUUUCCACCUAACUCUCUUCUGAUUUCAUUCUUUUUUUUUCUGAAAGCUGCAGAACAUGAGAAGGAAGAACUCAUAUUUUCAGUGACCUCUAAGAAUCUCUAAUAUUUUGGGAAGGUUCUGCUUGAAACAAUGAUUGAUAUUAGAGAUAAUGCAUGUUUGAUUUGCCCUAGGAGCAGGAAAUCCUUUUUAAAGCCCAGUUCCUCGAGGAUAUCUGGCUUAAAGUGCAUGAAUCGCUGCUUCUGAGAAAAUGCACUGUGUGCAGAAUCCUUUGUCAUGGGAGAAACACAGGAAGCACAAUACUGCAACAUCUGCAACUGCUCUGCCCUGCUGGGAUUGAACUCUAAUUUUCUACGUAAUAAUGGAGAUGAAUAUCCCUUAAAGAUGCAAAUGUAGGACAGGUCUUCACAGAAAACAGUUUUCAAGUACAAUGAUGGGAUACAGAUCAGAACUUGGAGCUUAAACAAGAUCUCACAGCCUCUACAACAAAACUCUGCAUCUGAAAGUGAAGAGGGAAUUAAUUCUGUAUGAAACUGCUGCAUGGUCCUUAAAGGAUGUUCUCUGUUUUACAGAUUGAUUCUGCUGCCGGGGAACUCAAAGAAAAAAAAAUCCAGUGCCUGGUAAAGUUAUGGAGAAGAUUAUUCUGG